AUUGAACGCUGGCGGCAUGCUUUACACAUGCAAGUCGAACGGCAGCGCGGGCUUCGGCCUGGCGGCGAGUGGCGAACGGGUGAGUAAUGCAUCGGAACGUGCCCAGUAGUGGGGGAUAGCCCGGCGAAAGCCGGAUUAAUACCGCAUACGACCUGAAUGUGAAAGCGGGGGACCGAAAGGCCUCGCGCUAUUUGAGCGACCGAUGUCGGAUUAGCUAGUUGGUGGGGUAAAGGCUUACCAAGGCGACGAUCCGUAGCUGGUCUGAGAGGACGACCAGCCACACUGGGACUGAGACACGGCCCAGACUCCUACGGGAGGCAGCAGUGGGGAAUUUUGGACAAUGGGGGCAACCCUGAUCCAGCCAUGCCGCGUGCGGGAAGAAGGCCUUCGGGUUGUAAACCGCUUUUGUUCGGGAAGAAAGCCUCUGGGCUAAUACCCCGGGGGGAUGACGGUACCGGAAGAAUAAGCACCGGCUAACUACGUG
rnacentral:rRNA from 1 species